rnacentral:rRNA from 1 species
GAUGAACGCUGGCGGCGUGCCUAAUACAUGCAAGUCGAGCGAACGGACGAGAAGCUUGCUUCUCUGAUGUUAGCGGCGGACGGGUGAGUAACACGUGGAUAACCUACCUAUAAGACUGGGAUAACUUCGGGAAACCGGAGCUAAUACCGGAUGAUAUUUUGAACCGCAUGGUUCAAAAGUGAAAGACGGUCUUGCUGUCACUUAUAGAUGGAUCCGCGCUGCAUUAGCUAGUUGGGAAGGUAACGGCUUACCAAGGCAACGAUGCAUAGCCGACCGGAGAGGGUGAUCGGCCACACGGGAACUGAGACACGGUCCAGACUCCUACGGGAGGCAGCAGUAGGGAAUCUUCCGCAAUGGGCGAAAGCCUGACGGAGCAACGCCGCGUGAGGGAUGAAGUUCUUCGGAUCGUAAAACUCUGUUAUUAGGGAAGAACAUAUGUGUAAGUAACUGUGCACAUCUUGACGGUACCUAAUCAGAAAGCCACGGCUAACUACGUG